rnacentral:rRNA from 1 species
UACGGAGGAUGCGAGCGUUAUCCGGAUUUAUUGGGUUUAAAGGGUGCGUAGGCGGACUGUCAAGUCAGCGGUAAAAUUGAGAGGCUCAACCUCUUCCCGCCGUUGAAACUGGUGGUCUUGAGUGGAUGAGAAGUACGCGGAAUGCGUGGUGUAGCGGUGAAAUGCAUAGAUAUCACGCAGAACUCCGAUUGCGAAGGCAGCGUACCGGCAUCCAACUGACGUUGAGGCUCGAGAGCGUGGGGAGCAAACAGG